rnacentral:rRNA from 1 species
CGUGUAGGCGGCCAGACAGGUCUGUUGUGAAAACUCGAGGCUCAACCUCGAGACGCCGAUGGAAACCGUUUGGCUAGAGUCCGGAAGAGGAGAGUGGAAUUCCUGGUGUAGCGGUGAAAUGCGCAGAUAUCAGGAAGAACACCCGUGGCUAAGGCGGCUCUCUAGUACGGUACUGACGCUGAGACGCGAAAGCGUGGGAGCGAACA